rnacentral:rRNA from 1 species
AGCUCCAAUAGCGUAUAUUAAAGUUGUUGCAGUUAAAAAGCUCGUAGUUGGAUCUCAGGCGUAGACGGGCGGUCCGGCUCGCAGCCGGUUCACUGCCCGCUUUCUACCCUAACCCCUGUCGGCUCUCUCCUGCGGGUGCUCUUCACUGAGCGUCCCAGGUGGCCGACGCGUUUACUUUGAAAAAAUUAGAGUGUUCAAAGCAGGCUCAACAGCCUGAAUAAUGGUGCAUGGAAUAAUGGAAUAGGACCUCGGCCCUAUUUUGUUGGUUUCCGGGACGGAGGUAAUGAUUAACAGGGACAAACGGGGGCAUUCGUAUUGCGGCGUUAGAGGUGAAAUUCUUGGAUCGCCGCAAGACGAGCUACUGCGAAAGCAUUUGUCAAGAAUGUUUUCA